GGUUUGCUCUUUGGUCGGGUUGUUGUCUCUUUCCCCAUUUUAUUCUCAAUUUUAGUAUUAGAUAAAAGAUAGCUAUCAAGGAAUUGGUCUGUUUAAUAAAAAAAAAAAGCAUAAAUAGAAAUUAUAUAAGAAUGUGUCCCCAGUAUAGUAUACCAUGAAAAUGGGGCAGCAUCUCUAAUUUGGCAUUAAAAUUAGAAAUAUCAUAUCACACGGAACAUGUGAAGUAAGUUUCAAGUUGAUUGGACUUCAACUUCAUCAAAAAAUUACCUCGACCAAAAACUUUAACAUGAAGCGCGACAGAUGGACGAACGGACGGACAGGCGGACGGCGGACGAACGAACAUACGGACGCACAGACCGGAAAACAUAAUGUCUAUAAAUGGGCCAUAAAAACUUCAAGUUAUACAAGAAGUGACAAUUAUUAUUCAUAAAUAAUUGUGAAAGUUAUGAAUAUAGCAUUUCACAUUUACAUGAUGAUUACCGGUACAUUGAAAAACUGGAUUACUAUUGAAGAUUCAGUAUCAG
rnacentral:lncRNA from 1 species